GAUGAACGCUAGCUACAGGCCUAAUACAUGCAAGUCGAGGGGACACAGCAUCAGAUGCUUGCUUUUGAUGGGCGUCGGCAGGGGCAAGGGAGAGUAAGGUGACUUCAACAUGCCACUCACAUGGGAUUAACCUAGCGAAAGUAAGACUAAUAACCAAUGACAUCCGACGAAGACAUCAGAAUGGGAUUAAAGUUUUAUCAGUGAUGGAUGGGGAUGCGUCGGAUUAGCUAGUUGGCAAGGUAACGGCUUACCAAGGCAACGAUCCGUAGGCGAUCUGAGAGGGUGGUAAGCCCCCCUGGAACUGAGCCACGGUCCAGACUACUAUGGGAGGCAGCACUGGGGAAUCUUCCACUAUGGGAGAAAGGCUGACGGAGCACCGCCGCGUGAGUGAUAAAGGUAUUCGGAUCGUAAAACUAUGUUAUUAGGGUAGAACAAAUGUGUAAGUAACUAUGCACGUCUUGAAGGUACCUAAUCAGAAAGCCACGGCUAACUACGUG
rnacentral:rRNA from 1 species